GGAGAUGUGGCCGAGUGGUCGAAGGCGCUCCCCUGCUAAGGGAGUAUAUGGUUUACCCCGUAUCGAGGGUUCGAAUCCCUCCAUCUCCGCCA
rnacentral:tRNA from 1 species